rnacentral:misc_RNA from 1 species
GCAAAAACAAAAUCUGAUAGCAUAGCUCAUCUGUUGUUUGGGAAAAUAUAUAAAACUUGGAAAGAAUAUAGAAUAAGAAAUAACAUUAAUUGAAAAGAAAAUUUAGCUCAUCAUCAAUUGAAACUCACUAAAAUCAACCCUUCCAUCCAAGUUCAAAUCCACAACCUUCAACAUCUUCUCUAUGUCGCUCAUAUCCAACCCUUUAUCCAGACCCAAGCACUGCAGCACCCUCUUCAGCUCCACAGCUUCUAUAUAUCCGUUACCAUUCUCAUCAAAUAUUUUGAAGGCUUCAUGCAGCAAAUGCUGGCGCUCUGACCCUUUUUCCAAUCCAUGAAGCACUUCCUCUACUGCCAUUUCAUCAUCUACCGCAGCGGAUUUGUUUCCUUCUUCUUCUUCUUCU